rnacentral:rRNA from 1 species
UCUGGGAUAAGCCUGGNANNCUNGGUCUAAUACCGGAUAUGACUCCUCAUCGCAUGGUGGGGGGUGGAAAGCUUUUGUGGUUUUGGAUGGACUCGCGGCCUAUCAGCUUGUUGGUGGGGUAAUGGCCUACCAAGGCGACGACGGGUAGCCGGCCUGAGAGGGUGACCGGCCACACUGGGACUGAGACACGGCCCAGACUCCUACGGGAGGCAGCAGUGGGGAAUAUUGCACAAUGGGCGCAAGCCUGAUGCAGCGACGCCGCGUGAGGGAUGACGGCCUUCGGGUUGUAAACCUCUUUCAGUAGGGAAGAAGCGUAAGUGACGGUACCUGCAGAAGAAGCGCCGGCUAACUACGUGCCAGCAGCCGCGGUAAUACGUAGGGCGCAAGCGUUAUCCGGAAUUAUUGGGCGUAAAGAGCUCGUAGGCGGUUUGUCGCGUCUGCUGUGAAAGACCGGGGCUCAACUCCGGUUCUGCAGUGGGUACGGGCAGACUAGAGUGCAGUAGGGGAGACUGGAAUUCCUGGUGUAGCGGUGAAAUGCGCAGAUAUCAGGAGGAACACCGAUGGCGAAGGCAGGUCUCUGGGCUGUAACUGACGCUGAGGAGCGAAAGCAUGGGGAGCGAACAGGAUUAGAUACCCUGGUAGUCCAUGCCGUAAACGUUGGGCACUAGGUGUGGGGGACAUUCCACGUUUUCCGCGCCGUAGCUAACGCAUUAAGUGCCCCGCCUGGGGAGUACGGCCGCAAGGCUAAAACUCAAAGGAAUUGACGGGGGCCCGCACAAGCGGCGGAGCAUGCGGAUUAAUUCGAUGCAACGCGAAGAACCUUACCAAGGCUUGACAUGAACCGGAAAGACCUGGAAACAGGUGCCCCGCUUGCGGUCGGUUUACAGGUGGUGCAUGGUUGUCGUCAGCUCGUGUCGUGAGAUGUUGGGUUAAGUCCCGCAACGAGCGCAACCCUCGUUCUAUGUUGCCAGCGGUUCGGCCGGGGACUCAUAGGAGACUGCCGGGGUCAACUCGGAGGAAGGUGGGGACGACGUCAAAUCAUCAUGCCCCUUAUGUCUUGGGCUUCACGCAUGCUACAAUGGCCGGUACAAAGGGUUGCGAUACUGUGAGGUGGAGCUAAUCCCAAAAAGCCGGUCUCAGUUCGGAUUGGGGUCUGCAACUCGACCCCAUGAAGUCGGAGUCGCUAGUAAUCGCAGAUCAGCAACGCUGCGGUGAAUACGUUCCCGGGCCUUGUACACACCG